rnacentral:sRNA from 1 species
AUGUAACAAUGCAACAAUGAAUUGGCAACGACGCCAAAUUGAUAAGCAGGUUUUUCAGGUCUGCUUAUGUUGUAUGUGUGUGAGAUUCAGUUCAAUGCUCCUAAAACAUAAACAUGUCGAUGUAGUUAUAAGGGGUGUCAAUCCAGUCCACUGUAUUGCUAGCAAUCAAGAUGUGUACAGAAACUACUAAGUCAAGCCAGAUUAUAAUGAUGGUGGGUUUUUAGUAACAAUCCUAUGUGAGGAUUCAAACAAGUAAAAAUAAGAACUUAAAAGCCCUACUCGAUCAUUGGGUCGAGUAGAACCAACAGGUGACAAAAUUAAGAAACCUAAAUGCAAUCAACAGGGGAUAUAAAUAGGGGAUUCAAAUAACAGGUAAAUAAAAGUGCAAUCAACAAGGGAUACAAAUAAAUCUAAUAGAAGUUCUAAGGAUGGAUUCAUUGAUAAGGGCAACUCUAGGUUUCACCAAUUGGCUAAUAGGCGAAAGGUAGAUACCCAUGACGAUAGAUUCAAAAACCGGAUCAAUCCACUCUCGUGACAGAGACCCCCAUAACUCUACCACUUCCUAUCUCAACUCUCGUUGAUAAAACAUAGCAGAGCAGGGUUUAAGAAACAAUAUACCAAAGCCAAUAGGUAGACAAGCCAAUCCCUUGGUCGAGUCUACAAAUCUCUGGAAUUCGUAGGUCAGACAUCCAUUUGAACGUCUUUUGGACGUUGGACGUCUAUGAUCGAAUCUCCACAUUAGUCAGCAAAAACCGCAUAGGGGCCAAGCGAAUCCAGAAGGGUAUAAACCUAAAGACUAACCACCUAACUAACCUAGAGAUUACCCUAAUCUAAUCCAUACUCAAGAACCCUAAUCACCACUCAAGCAACAUUAUCAAGAACACAAACCCAGAAAUUACAAAAAUCAUACCAAAAUGUAGAUCUAAACAAGCUAAACAACUUUACUUAAACAAUCAAAUGCAAACACGAAAUAGAUUAAGAGUAAUUAAGGUUUUAAGAUUCAUAAACACAAAGAAAAACUGAAAGAUAAAGCAUAGAUCCUUUGGACAAAUCCCAAAGUGAUCUAUUUAUACUAAAAUGUUGGAAACCCUAGAUUCACUAGAAGACAAGAGACUUGAGGCGGUUUGGACGAAUACUCGAUCUUGGGGAUCGAGUAAAGAGGGUGCUGCAAAGUCUGCGCCUUUGUUUCUAUGCUCCGAGUGAUCAAUUGGUCGAGUAGAUGCUUCAUCCUCUCCUAUCUGUAUGCUCAGAUGUCUGGUUAAGUGGGGAAUGAGGAGGAUGCGAAGACGCUUUGAUAGCUCAACAAGUCUUGUAGAGAUGGUCACCCUUGGUCGAGUAAAUGGAUCGAGUAGGAGAGACGAGUAGAUCAAUCUGCUGCUUCAUCUGAGGUUGCCUUGAUCGAGUAGGAGGGUCGAGUAAACUGCAGCCUUCUCUGUGGCAUCCUUGAUCGAGUAAAGAGGUCGUCGAGUAAACUGCAUCCUCCUCUAUAGUUGCCUGGGUCGAGUGAAUGGAUCGAGUAGAGUCCUUUUUAGCUCCUUCUGCACCUGAAAACACACCAAAACAUGCAAUGCAUAUGCAAGAUGAUCCUAGAUGCCUAAGUAUGCAAAAUAAGCUAAAAUGUUGCAAAAUAAUAUGAUACAAUGAGCAAAUGCAAAGGUAAAUGAUGAUAAACAUACACACCUAAAAUGAGUAAAAUACAGUGUUAUUAGUGAUCAAGUGCUGGAUCUUUUAUUUCAUCUGGCCAAGUAUAAAACAGCUCGUUUACAUCAUCCUUCAUAACCAUUUUAUGCACACGCAGUUACAACACAAGAGAUUAUAAAACCCAUCAAUAUGUUCAAAGUCAGUCAUCAAUAAGUAUAACUCAGACAUUGCUUAACAAUAAUUCAACCAUCACUAAACCACAACUAAGUCAUAACUAAACAAUAUAAGACAAACAUCAUAUAAGAAUAACCCAAA